UACAGAGACCUCAAACGUUAUCCGGAUUCAUUGGGCGUAAAGCGUCCGCAGGUGGUUUUAUAAGUUGGUGGUUAAAUCCUGGGGCUUAACUUCAGGACUGCUGUCAAAACUGUAAGACUUGAGGGUGGGAGAGGUAAUCGGAACUGCCGGUGUAGUCGUAAUAAGCGCUGAUAUCGGCAGGAACACCAAAGGCGAAGGCAGAUUACUGGAACACACCUGACACUCAUGGACGAAAGCGUGGGGAGCGAAU
rnacentral:rRNA from 1 species